CACAACUCCCCAUAAUAAGAACAAUCCACUUUUCGAAAGUGACUUAUGUUAAAAUUCUUGCAUUUGUAGUUGACGUGUCACAAUAAUAUUAAUCAUUCUUCUUUUAUACAGCUUUAUCCAUCAGUUUAUUCACUUAAAG